rnacentral:rRNA from 1 species
CACGUAGUUAGCCGGGGCUUCUUAGUCAGGUACCGUCUUGCUUCUUCCCUGCCGAUAGGGCUUUACAUGCCGAAGCACUCCUUCACCCACGCGGCGUCGCUGCAUCAGGGUUCCCCCCAUUGUGCAAUAUCCCCCACUGCUGCCUCCCGUAGGAGUCUGGGCCGUGUCUCAGGCCCAAUGUGGCCGUCCGCCCUCUCAGGCCGGCUACCGAUCGUCGCCUUGGUGGGCCGCUGCCCCGCCAACAAGCUAAUCGGACGCGGACCCAUCGCAUGCCGGGAUUGCUCCCUUUCCGCACUGCGCCAUGCGGCGCCGUGCGCAUAUGCGGUAUUAGCGGCUGUUUCCAGCCGGUAUCCCCCUGCAUGCGGCAGGUUGCCACGCGUUACUCACCCGUCCGCCACUCGCAUGCGCAAUCACUAGGUUUUCAUGCGCAGUCGCCCGUUCGACUUGCAUGUGUUAGGCACGCGCCAGCGUUCAUCUGACG